AAUGAUGUGGCUGAUUUAGGCGGCGGACUGUAAAUCUGUUUAUAAUUUGACCAUUCGUCAUUA
rnacentral:tRNA from 1 species